GACGAACGCUGGCGGCGUGCCUAAUACAUGCAAGUUGAGCGAUGAAGAUUGGUGCUUGCACCAAUUUGAAGAGCAGCGAACGGGUGAGUAACGCGUGGGGAAUCUGCCUUUGAGCGGGGGACAACAUUUGGAAACGAAUGCUAAUACCGCAUAACAACUUUAAACAUAAGUUUUAAGUUUGAAAGAUGCAAUUGCAUCACUCAAAGAUGAUCCCUCGUUGUAUUAGCUAGUUGGUGAGGUAAAGGCUCACCAAGGCGAUGAUACAUAGCCGACCUGAGAGGGUGAGCGGCCACAUUGGGACUGAGACACGGCCCAAACUCCUACGGGAGGCAGCCGUAGGGAAUCUUCGGCCAUGGACGAAAGUCUGAACGAGCAACGCCGCGGGAGUGAAGAAGGUUUUCGGGUCGUAAAACUCGGUUGGUAGAGAAGAAAGUUGGUGAGAGUGGAAAGCUCAUCAAGUGACGGUAACUACUCAGAAAGCGACGGCUAACUACGUG
rnacentral:rRNA from 1 species